GUGAGGUAACGGCUCACCAAGGCGACGAUCUCUAGCUGGUCUGAGAGGAUGACCAGCCACACUGGAACUGAGACACGGUCCAGACUCCUACGGGAGGCAGCAGUGGGGAAUAUUGCACAAUGGGGGAAACCCUGAUGCAGCCAUGCCGCGUGUGUGAAGAAGGCCUUCGGGUUGUAAAGCACUUUCAGUCAGGAGGAAGGGGUGAUGGCUAAUAUCCAUCAUCAUUGACGUUACUGACAGAAGAAGCACCGGCUAACUCCGUGCCAGCAGCCGCGGUAAUACGGAGGGUGCAAGCGUUAAUCGGAAUAACUGGGCGUAAAGCGCACGCAGGCGGUUGGAUAAGCGAGAUGUGAAAGCCCCGGGCUCAACCUGGGAACUGCAUUUCGAACUGUCCGACUAGAGUCUUGUAGAGGGGGGUAGAAUUCCAGGUGUA
rnacentral:rRNA from 1 species